GACGAACGCUGGCGGCGUGCCUAAUACAUGCAAGUAGAACGCAGUUGCGAACGCGUGAGUAACGCGUAGGUAACUGCCUCAUAGCGGGGGAUAACUAUUGGAAACGAUAGCUAAUACCGCAUACUGUGGGAUGGACCUGAGUUGUAUUAGGUAGUUGGUGCGGUAAAGCGUCACCAAGGCGCCGAUCCAUAGCCGACCUGAGAGGGUGAUCGGGAAAACUGGGAAUUAGACACGGCCCAGACUCCUUCGGGAGGAAGCAGUAGGGAAUCGUAGGCAAUGGACGGAAGUCUGAACGAGCAACGCCGGGUGAGUGAAGAAGGGUUUCGGGUCGUAAAGCUCUGUUGUUAGAGAAGCGGUAACUAAACAGAAAGGGACGGCUAACUACGUGCCAGCAGCCGCGGUAAUAC
rnacentral:rRNA from 1 species